rnacentral:sRNA from 1 species
AGACCUCAGUCGCUAGUGGCACAGGAGGGGGCGGUUCCCAUCUAGAGCAGAUGGAGAGAUUUCCUUUGAAAAUUUGAGCUGCGAGCUCCUAGGCUGCAGUUCAGUUCAGGAGCUCACCACCCUAGGAUCGGCUGUCGCCUCCCGGACUGUCCACACCAGCCCGGCAGCACCACAUUCGGGGAGCGGUCACCUUUCUCUCGGCCUGGGGUCUCAUUAGUCCAUGCUGGCCUCAAACUGGCAAGGUAGCUGAGAAACACUUGAACUUGUCAUCUCCCAUCUCUGCGUCUUGAACACUGAGGUUGCAGGCACGCACCGUGAUGGCCGGCUCAUGUGGGGCGGUUGCUGAACCCAGGGCUUUGUGAGCCCCCGGGAAGCACACUAUCAAAGCCUGGAUUUAAAUCACAGUAACACCGAGGGAAGAUGAAUGGCAGUGCUAUUGAAUGUGGCUAAAAUUGGAUCCUUCAGCCCAGGAUGAGCCCCAGGAGAGGCCUGGAUACUGACCACUGGUUCCGACAGUCCUCAAAGACAAUGGUGUUCAUGAGGACAGACAUCAUCU